AUGAGCUCUGGCUUAAUCGCAGCUUGCGCAUUAGUUUUGUGCUGGUGUGCUCGGCAGCUAUGCCGCGAGAAUCGGCUACACCCCUCGGAGUUGGAGGAGGGCUCUUGUCUAUCCCUUCUAAUGAAUCCCUCGCUCAUUGUCCUUCCCGUUGUACGUGGGGAUAUCGACGUCACGUACCCCUUCGGGAUUGCGCCGGGUUGCUUCCGGCAAGGCUUCGAGCUCACCUGUCGCAACACCACCAAAACACCUAGGCUCUACCUUGGAGAUGGUACUACCGAGGUUGCCCUGGUCAUCGGUUCUUUGAGUUUGGUUUCGGUCCCCAUGUACUUCAACAUUACUGUGAGGCCAGAUAUAGAUAUCUACAACAUGUCCUGGGUAUCCCCCGCUGAUGGUAUUUCCGUUUCUGACAAUAACAUUUUUUACAUUAUCGGUUGUAAUUUUGAUGCUACUUUGUUCGAGUAUGGCACGGGAGACCUUGUUGGUUCUUGCAUGAGUAGAUGUGACGGUGAAAAGCUACCCCUGGGAGGGCCUUGUAAUGGGAUGGGAUGCUGCUCCAUCCAGUUUUCAAGGAGCCUGCGGGGUUUUCAGUCAAUGCUACUUGUUCGCUCAGAUGGCAUUCCUGGUACUGCACAAUCGGAUCCAGUGCACCCUGGCUUCAUGGCUUUCAUGUCGAAUGGUUACUACGAGCCAAACACGAGUGAGAUUUUCUCUGGUUGGACAAACGCAAGCAGUGUCGAAGGCAUGGUAGUUCAAUUUGCUAGCAUAGAGCAACCAACCUGUGAACGUGCGCAAGCAAGCAACACAAGUUAUGCAUGUAGCUCUAGCAGCAAUUGCCGAGAUGUGUCAACUGGAGGUUACAGCUGUGACUGUUCCCCUUAUGGAAGUGGCAACGCGUACAUCUUAGAUGGAUGCAUAGGCUAUAACCCCACGCAUAAAGAACAAUGUUCAACGUCCUGCGGAGGCAUGGAAAUUCCUUUCCCUUUUGGAGUGGAAGAAGGUUGUUUUGCUGAUGAAAGGUUUAGACUCUACUGUACAAAAGAUAAUCUCACUGUUUGCGAAUUAGGAGCAGCACAAUAUCGUGUGACUGCUUUGUCUUUGGAAAAUGGGACUCUCACUGUCAGCAACAUGAUGAACGACACAAACUACGGGAAAGAGGAGAUAAUUAUUCAGACCACAAACGAUGGUGGUACGUCAUUCUCAGUCCCUGUGGAAGAUACAUUUGAUCUCUCUAUGGAAUACGCCAUUAUUAUAAGAUGGGCAGUUGCCAAUUUAACUUGUGAAGUAGCACCACAAAAGAACUCUACGUACGCAUGCCGCAGCAGCCACAGCUACUGUUUGAACGUCACCCACAGGGAACAAUUCAUGGGAUAUCGUUGCAAGUGUUCUUCCGGCUACGAAGGGAACCCAUACAUAAAGGAUGGUUGUACAGACAUAAAUGAAUGCUUACUGCCAAACUACUGUAAUGGCACGUGCCAAAAUUUACCUGGAAACUACACAUGCACAAGCUGCCCGCGUAGAAAAGAGUUUGAUCCGAUCAAAAGGAAGUGUGUUACAUCAGCUAAGCAACGGAAUCUUCUUCUAGGCAUUGCUACCGGAAUUGGUUGUGGUCUUGGUUCCAUACUAAUUGCAUUAGGGGCAAUGAUACUCGCAAAUAAGUGGAAAAAAGGCAUCCAAAAGAGAAUUUGAAGAGCAUGUUUUAAGAAAAAUCAAGGUUUACUUUUGGAGCAACUAAUCUCAAACGAAAGUGCCACAAACAAAACAAAGAUAUUCUCCUUGGAAGAACUAGAAGAGGCAACCAACAACUUUGGUGCUACUUGUGUUCUUGGUUGCGGUGGACAUGGCACAGUUUAUAAAGGGAUUCUAUCCGACCAACGUGUGGUGGCCAUUAAAAAAUCAAAAAUUGUGGAGCAAAUUGAGAUAGAUCAGUUUAUCAAUAAGGUUGCUAUCUUGUCUCAAAUCAUCCACUGCAAUGUGGUAAAGCUUUUUGGUUGUUGUCUUGAAUCCGAGGUACCUCUGCUAGUCUAUAAAUUCAUAUCUAAUGGCACACUACAUGACCACCUUCAAAUUGAUAGUAGUGUUAAAUGUUUGUUGUCAUGGGAUGACCGUAUUAGGAUUGUUGUGGAAGCAGCAGGGGCACUUGCCUAUCUACAUUCAGCUGCUGCAAUAUCAAUUUUCCACAGAGAUGUGAAAUCUUCUAAUAUUCUCUUAGAUAGCAGUUUUACCAUAAAGGUCUCUGAUUUUGGUGCUUCAAGAUCUAUUUCUCUUGAUGAGACACAUGUGGUGACCAUUGUCCAAGGUACAUUUGGUUAUUUAGAUCCAGAAUAUUAUCAUACUGGACAACUAACCGAAAAGAGUGAUGUAUAUAGUUUUGGGGUGAUACUUGUAGAAACCAAUUUUCAUCAACGAUGCAAGUGCAAAACAAAGCUUGUCUCAUUACUUCAUUGAAGGACUUCAAGAGGGAUCUCUAAUGGGAAUAGUAGAUCCCCAGGUUGUCGAAGAGGCAAACAAGGAAGAGAUCAACGACAUUGAGGCAUGCUUGAAAGUUAAAGGAGGAGAUAGACCUAAUAUGAAAGAAGUAGAGAUGAGGUUGCAGUUGCUGAAAACCAAGAGGCUAAAAAAUUCCAACUUCGCCCUGAAAAUGAUGGAAAAAUUCAGCACCUUUUAAGCCCAAAUGCUAGUAGCUCUUAUGCACACAAUAUAACAUCAGAAGGAAUCUCCGGUCGCUACAGUAUAGAGCAAGAAUUAUCAUCCUCAAUCAGUUUGCCACGCUAACUUGAUAUGUGUAAUAUAUAUAUAACAUAGUGAUGUGCUUUGAGUAAAUAAUAUU